UGGUCAAGUUAUUAAGGGUGCAGGGCGGAUGCCUUGGCACUAGGAGCCGAUGAAGGACGUGAUAAGCUGCGAUAAGCUUCGGGGAGUUGCACGUAAACUUUGAUCCGAAGAUUUCCGAAUGAGGAAACUCACUUAGAGUAAUGUCUAAGUAUCAUUAAGUGAAUACAUAGCUUAAUGAGGGGAACUCAGGGAACUGAAACAUCUAAGUACCUGAAGGAAGAGAAAGAAAUUCGAUUCCGUAAGUAGCGGCGAGCGAACGCGGAUUAGCCCAAACCAAUAAAGUUUUCUUUAUUGGGGUUGCGGACAUAUCAUAACGAAGAGGUAUCGUAAUUGAAGAGGUUUGGAAAGACCCACCACAGAAGGUAAUAGUCCUGUAUGUUAAACGAGAAGACUUUAGAUAUGAUCCAGAGUACCACGGGACACGUGAAACCCUGUGGGAAGCAGGAGGGACCACCCUCCAAGGCUAAAUACUACCUAGUGACCGAUAGCGUAUAGUACCGUGAGGGAAAGGUGAAAAGAACCCCGGGAGGGGAGUGAAAUAGAACCUGAAACCCUGCACUUACAAGCUGUGGAAGCACAUUUCUUGUGUGACCGCGUACUUUUUGUAGAACGGGCCAACGAGUUACGUUAAGUAGCAAGGUUAAGCACUUAAGGUGUGGAGCCGUAGCGAAAGCGAGUUUUAACUGAGCGUUCAGUUACUUGACGUAGACCCGAAACCGGGCGACCUACCCAUGAGCAGGAUGAAGCGAAAGUAAAAUUUCGGGGAGGUCCGAACCCACGAGCGUUGAAAAGCUCGGGGAUGACUUGUGGGUAGCGGUGAAAUUCCAAUCGAGCCCGGAGAUAGCUGGUUCUCCCCGAAAUAGCUUUAGGGCUAGCCUCAAGGUGAGAGAUACGGAGGUAGAGCACUGAAUGUCCUAGGGGGUAUUGCACCUACCGAAGACUAUCAAACUCCGAAUGCCGUCAUCUUAUACUUGGGAGUCAGACUGUGGGUGAUAAGAUUCAUAGUCGAAAGGGCAACAGCCCAGAUCGUCAGCUAAGGUCCCUAAAUGUAAGUUAAGUGGUAAAGGAUGUGGGAUUGCACAGACAACCAGGAUGUUGGCUUAGAAGCAGCCACUCAUUCAAAGAGUGCGUAAUAGCUCACUGGUCGAGUGAUCCUGCGCCGAAGAUUUCCGGGGCUAAAACUUACUACCGAAGCUACGGCAUCAGUAAUGAUGGGUAGGGGAGCUUCCCAUACGGGUUGAAGCAUGACCGUAAGGACAUGUGGACAGUAUGGGAGUGAGAGUGUUGGAAUGGGGAGGGAGAUGUGGGUAAGAAUGCCACAGGCCGUAAACCCAAGG
rnacentral:rRNA from 1 species